rnacentral:misc_RNA from 1 species
GAUGAAGAACGCAGCGAAAUGCGAUAAGUAAUGUGAAUUGCAGAAUUCAGUGAAUCAUCGAGUCUUUGAACGCACAUUGCGCCCGCUGGUAUUCCGGCGGGCAUGCCUGUUCGAGCGUCAUUUCAACCCUCAAGCCCCCGGGUUUGGUGUUGGGGAUCGGCUCUGCCCUUCUGGGCGGUGCCGCCCCCGAAAUACAUUGGCGGUCUCGCUGCAGCCUCCAUUGCGUAGUAGCUAACACCUCGCAACUGGAACGCGGCGCGGCCAUGCCGUAAAACCCCAACUUCUGAAUGUUGACCUCGGAUCAGGUAGGAAUACCCGCUGAACUUAAGCAUAUCAAUAAGCGGAGGA